AUUGAACGCUGGCGGCAUGCCUUACACAUGCAAGUCGAACGGUAACGCGGGGCAACCUGGCGACGAGUGGCGAACGGGUGAGUAAUGUAUCGGAACGUGCCCAGUUGUGGGGGAUAACUGCUCGAAAGAGCAGCUAAUACCGCAUACGACCUGAGGGUGAAAGCGGGGGAUCGCAAGACCUCGCGCAAUUGGAGCGGCCGAUAUCAGAUUAGGUAGUUGGUGGGGUAAAGGCUCACCAAGCCAACGAUCUGUAGCUGGUCUGAGAGGACGACCAGCCACACUGGGACUAAGACACGGCCCAGACUCCUACGGGAGGCAGCAGUGGGGAAUUUUGGACCAUGGGCGCAAGCCUGAUCCAGCCAUGCCGCGUGCGGGAAGAAGGCCUUCGGGUUGUAAACCGCUUUUGUCAGGGAAGAAAAGACUCCUGUUAAUACCGGGGGUUCAUGACGGUACCUGAAGAAUAAGCACCGGCUAACUACGUGCCAGCCGCCGCGGUAA
rnacentral:rRNA from 1 species